AUGCACCUCUUUACAAGCAGCACCGCAAGUACACCAGGGAGCUCCACGACGUCGACCUCCACGGCAACCACAAGCUCCACGUCGUUUGCACAAGCAAGGGUGAAGACAUGGACAAGAUGCUGUCCACUCAGGAGGAAGCUCGGCGGAAUGCCCGUCAAACUAGUCGGCAUUGAUGUCGAGUACACGCACUACGUGAAGCCACAGCGAGCAGCAGUGCUCCAGCUAUGCAUAGAAAAAGAAUGCCUUGUCUACCACAUCUCUAGAGCUAAAGACAGGCCAAUGGAACUAGACAAAUUCCUCAUGAAUGGUGAGUACACAUUCGUCGGAUUCGCUAUUGAAGGAGACAAAAGCAAGCUGAAGCUAUCUGGUUUGGAGAUCAACUCUGACAACUACAUUGAUAUUCAGGUGGAAUGGAGAGACCCAUACAAUAAAAAGAAGUUUGACUCUUUGGCUCAUGUUGCCGACACGAUGAUAGACAUUCACUACCAUGACAUGAAGAAACAAAUUAACCGCAAGGAGGACCAUACUCUGUGGGGAUUUUGCCCACUGCCAGAAAAGCUUAUCAAGUAUGCAGCAAUAGAUGCAUUCGCAACAUAUGAGUCAUGGAGAAUCAUCUACGAUCUCAUCAUGGGACUGGAUAGGGCAAAAAGAGACAAAGAAGCAAAGCAGAAGAAGAACAAGGCUAUAAUCCAAUACAGCAACUAG
rnacentral:rRNA from 1 species